rnacentral:rRNA from 1 species
UAACAGGAUUAGAUACCCUGGUAGUCCACGCCGUAAACGAUGAGUGCUAGGUGUCAGGGGUAUCGACCCCCCUGGUGCCGCAGCUAACGCAAUAAGCACUCCGCCUGGGGAGUACGGCCGCAAGGUUGAAACUCAAAGGAAUUGACGGGGGCCCGCACAAGCGGUGGAGCAUGUGCAUUAAUUCGUCACUAACCGAAGAACCUUACCAGGGUUUGACAUCCUCUGACAUGCCAUGAAAGUGGUCCUUCCCCGCAAGGGGACAGAGAGACAGGUGUUGCAUGGUUGUCGUCAGCUCGUGUCGUGAGAUGCUGGGUUAAGUCCCGCAACGAGCGCAACCCUCACCCAAUGUUGCCAGCGUCAAGUCGGGCACUCUUUGGGAACUGCCCGUGUAAGCGGGAGGAAGGUGGGGAUGACGUCAAAUCGGCAUGGCCCUUACAUCCUGGGCUUGACACAUGCUACAAUGGCCGUUAAACAAAGGGAAGCAAUACCGCGAGGUGGAGCCAAUCUCAAAAAUACGGUCUCAGUUCAGAUUGCAGGCUGCAACUCGCCUGCAUGAAGUCGGAAUCGCUAGUAACCGCAGGUCAGCUAAACUGCGGUGAGUACGUUCCCGGGCCUUGUACACACUGCCCGUCAAGUCACCUGAGUUGUCUGCAGCCGAAGCCAGUGGCUUAACCGCAAGGAGAGAGCUGUCUAAGCUGUGGGGAGCGAGGGGGACUAAGUCGUAAC